rnacentral:rRNA from 3 species
GAUUGACCUCGGAUCAGGUAGGGAUACCCGCUGAACUUAAGCAUAUCAAUAAGCGGAGGAAAAGAAACCAACCGGGAUUGCCUCAGUAACGGCGAGUGAAGCGGCAAGAGCUCAAAUUUGAAAGCUGGCCCCUCCGGGGUCCGCGUUGUAAUUUGCAGAGGAUGCUUUGGGUGCGGCCCCCGUCUAAGUGCCCUGGAACGGGCCGUCAGAGAGGGUGAGAAUCCCGUCUUGGGCGGGGUGUCCGUGCCCGUGUAAAGCUCCUUCGACGAGUCGAGUUGUUUGGGAAUGCAGCUCUAAAUGGGUGGUAAAUUUCAUCUAAAGCUAAAUACUGGCCGGAGACCGAUAGCGCACAAGUAGAGUGAUCGAAAGAUGAAAAGCACUUUGAAAAGAGAGUUAAACAGCACGUGAAAUUGUUGAAAGGGAAGCGCUUGCGACCAGACUCGCCCUCGGGGUUCAGCCGGCACUCGUGCCGGUGUACUUCCCCGGGGGCGGGCCAGCGUCAGCUUGGGCGGCCGGUCAAAGGCCUCCGGAAUGUAGUGCCCCCCGGGGCACCUUAUAGCCGGAGGUGCAAUGCGGCCAGCCUGGGCUGAGGAACGCGCUUCGGCACGGACGCUGGCAUAAUGGUCGCAAACGACC